rnacentral:rRNA from 1 species
UACAGAGGUCCCGAGCGUUGUUCGGAUUCAUUGGGCGUAAAGGGUGCGUAGGCGGCGGGGCAAGUCUGAUGUGGAAAUCCCCGGGGCUCAACCCCGGAACAUGCAUUGGAUACUGCCUUGCUAGAGUACUGGAGAGGGAACUGGAAUUUACGGUGUAGCAGUGAAAUGCGUAGAGAUCGUAAGGAAGGCCAGUGGCGAAGGCGAGUUCCUGGACAGUUACUGACGCUGAGGCACGAAGGCCAGGGGAGCAAACGGG